rnacentral:rRNA from 1 species
AUUGAACGCUGGCGGCAGGCCUAACACAUGCAAGUCGAACGAGUGGCGGACGGGUGAGUAAUGUCUGGGAAUCUGCCUGAUGGAGGGGGAUAACUACUGGAAACGGUAGCUAAUACCGCAUACCAUCGGAUGUGCCCAGAUGGGAUUAGCUCGUAGGUGGGGGAACGGCUCACCUAGGCGACGAUCCCUAGCUGGUCUGAGAGGAUGAUCAGCCACACUGGGACUGAGACACGGCCCAGACUCCGACGGGAGGCAGCAGUGGGGAAUAUUGCACAAUGGGCGCAAGCCUGAUGCAGCCAUGCCGCGUGUAUGAAGAAGGCCUUCGGGUUGUAAAGUACUUUCAGCGGGGAGGCGUUACCCACAGAAGAAGCACCGGCUAACUCCGUGCCAGCAGCCGCGGUAAUAC